UGCCUGAUGGAGGGGGAUAACUACUGGAAACGGUAGCUAAUACCGCAUAACGUCGCAAGACCAAAGAGGGGGACCUUCGGGCCUCUUGCCAUCGGAUGUGCCCAGAUGGGAUUAGCUUGUUGGUGGGGUAACGGCUCACCAAGGCGACGAUCCCUAGCUGGUCUGAGAGGAUGACCAGCCACACUGGAACUGAGACACGGUCCAGACUCCUACGGGAGGCAGCAGUGGGGAAUAUUGCACAAUGGGCGCAAGCCUGAUGCAGCCAUGCCGCGUGUAUGAAGAAGGCCUUCGGGUUGUAAAGUACUUUCAGCGGGGAGGAAGGGAGUAAAGUUAAUACCUUUGCUCAUUGACGUUACCCGCAGAAGAAGCACCGGCUAACUCCGUGCCAGCAGCCGCGGUAAUACGGAGGGUGCAAGCGUUAAUCGGAAUUACUGGGCGUAAAGCGCACGCAGGCGGUUUGUUAAGUCAGAUGUGAAAUCCCC
rnacentral:rRNA from 1 species